UGCCUUUUGUUUUCUUAGAGCUUCCAAGAAAAUAUUGCUCAGAAGCAAUGAAGGCCAACUGUUCUUGGAGAAAGGCAUACGGCAACCAGCAAAUCUAGCAAGGCUGCACAGUCAUUUUGAAAGAGGCUUGGAAAAUCCUAACACUGCUAAAAUUUAUCUUCAUAACUGCUGACAAGAUCUAGUAAAAAGUUUGGGCUGUGCUCAUGCAUUUCAUUGCCUUUCAUAAGCCAAGAUCUUAUUAGCAAAUAAUUUUUUCCGAAGUUCAAAAGCCAAACUGUUGUGCAUGCCUAUUGCUUGUAGCAAAGUUAAUAGCUCUUGUUGACAAAGUGUUUUCAAAGUACUGACAUACAUAAUCAUGUUAUACUUGGGUACAUCAGCCAUUUGUUAAAAAUCUUUCACAUUCAGGCUCACCUGAUCACCAUAUCUGUAUGUGGCAGUCUUCUUGACCGUGGUAGAUGGGAUGACCAAGAGCCUCAACGAGAAAGGCAAGUAACUGUGCUGCAGAGCAGGAGAACCAGUCCAGAGGCUAAACAUCGUAAGCCAAGAAAACCUAAGAUCAGUUCUGCAACAUAUUUCCUUACACAGACUUACAUCAUUAAUUCUCUCUGUGUCUCUGUUCUGUAAAAUUGUACUUUUAUAUGACAGGCUCUGAGAAUAAACACAGUAUGAAGUGGCAUACUGACAAGGAACAUGGAAAUGAGUCUCUGAGUCUCUGAUAACUUCCCAUUACCAAUCAGUCAUUUUUAACACUCAAAAUGAAUGAUCCCAGAGAAAUUACAAUGGAAACUACUCACAAGAGACUGAAAAAUCAACAGAUUCCUGAACUGAAUUCAGUUUCACGAGUAUAUGCUUAGAAGGAAUCAUUUCCCAUGAUGAUACCAUUUGGAAAGCAGUCUUUCAAAAUUAUAAGCAAAGCAAAUCACCAUCUAACAGCAAUGUUAUUUCACUGCACUGGUCACAGUGACCAAGGAAGCCUUUCAAGUCAUGAAGAACAUAACCGGGAUGUCUUGAGAAAAACACCUACAAAAACAGCAUAUCCCAAACCUGAGACUCUUGCAUAUUAAUUUUGCACACUUUUUAAUGGUGCUGAUGUUACACAGCGCAGCUAGCCCCUUCAAAAAUGCUAGGACAGAAUCCAUCCUGAAAUACUGAACUGCAGUAACCUCAACACAGGUGCCAACUUUCCUGAGGACUUCUUUACCCUGAGGAGAAGGCAGACACCGCAGAACUUAGAGUUAACUUACCUAUGACCCUUCUCAUAUGAACUUACUCACUGGACAGCACUGUUUCAUUGGACAAAACCACCCCACAACUCUUCUUCUAAGAUGUAUGUUAAGGGGCCAGCAUCUUUUUAUUUUUUUCAAACACAUCUACCCAGCCAAUCACCUUCCUUUUCUCUUUCUGAGAGUGAUUACUUUGCAGUACAGAUCACUGUGACUUGUUCACCUGCUGUAUUCCUUAGGGCUGUAUGUUCUGCCAGCAUCUGUAACAUGGACUAGUAGAUUCUGAGCAUUUCCUGCCCUGUCACCACUGCUGCCCUCAGGUUUCACAGGGUGCCUCUAUAGUAGUUGGGAUCUGGAGCGUGCUUUUUAUGACAGCCCCUCAGUCUCUCCACAUACAGUGCUGUGCUUACGUCAAAGAGCAGCCCCACACUGCUACCUAACUCCUCACCAUCCACCCACCAAAAAAAAAAAAAAAAAAAACCCCAAGAAAGUGAAAAGCAAAAUAACCAACCAAUCAACGAAAAAAAAAACCCAACAAACAGUCUGAUACCUUUCCUCUCAGAUAGCAUCUCUAGUGAACCACAACUUUUGAACUGUUAACAUUAUGGGCUAAUCUUUAUCAAAAUUGUUAUUAUUCAGGUCCUUGCUCACCUCACUGUAAUGUGAAACUCACCCCUUCCCUUCCACCACUUUCUAUUCCUUCUUUCUCUCUUUUGUAUCUUCUUGUUCUAUUUUACCAUAAUAGUUUCGAAUAAAGUUUGAGCUCAUCACUGCACCAAAUGCAUCUGAAAUAACUCCUCCAUCUUCCACGAUUUCUUUGAUUUUCUGAAAGUGAAUUUUUAUGCAAGUUAUAUCAGAGCGAUCUGGAACUUCAGCAUAUCUUUAAAAAUGUCACUUCCUCUAGUUCAGCCAGAUGCAGCAUGGCUUUUCUCUUUGCGUAGUGUGCCAACUCAGGACCUAAGAAACUGAAUGGAAGGACCUCAGCUGACUGCAACAGGCAGUCCCCUAACUUCAUUUAGUUAAGUCGUUUAAACAACUGAUACUGUUUUAUGUUAAAUUUCAUGACUGUGUGACAUUCAGGGAUAACCACGUAUGUUCUGUGUCUUUGGCAAAUACACUUUUCCUAUUAUGCAAUCUGAAAAAAUACUGGUUUUGUUCUAAUGUAAUUGUAAGAAUCAAAUUUAUAUACAAGACCUUUAGAAAACAGAGACCCACCUCUAAAUGCAAAGAACAAACAUUUGCAUUACCUAUUUAUAUUAAAAUAUGCAGAAAUUUCCAAAGUAUUCAGUCAACUUAUAAAUUUUUAUAACUUCUUCAAAUUGUUAACAUUUUUUUAACACACAGCAUUAUUUCAGCUUUGUGGAAAGCUCAAUAACAAUCUUUCUGGUCUGGAAAAAAGGAAAGAACAUUAUAAUAGAGAAUGCAGAAUAAAUAAAAACAAAACAGUACAAGCCGUACAUCCACACAUACAAAGACAACUUUCAUGGUGAGCUAUAAGCAAUUAUAAUAACACAAUGUGCUGCAUGUUGAUUUCACCAGUGAAAAGAAUUUCUCCAGUUAUUGAAGACUUUCCUGGCAGAAUCUCAGAAAAAAAAUCUGACAUUCUCCCAAUCUGACUUCUGUGCAAUGCAAGUCAUGCACAUUUUAAACACUGAUGAAUAAUGCUGCCUUUCUUCUAUGAACUGUUAACAGCUGUAGAAACUAUUAUAGCCUGCUUAUAACCAUGUCUCUGUAGUCAAUACUCUCCAGACACUUAGCAAUACUAAAGCUAUUCCUGGGGCUAAACUAGAAUUGCAAUGCGAAUACAAAGUUUGAUUUAUGUUGAAAUGCAACAACAAACAUCUGAUCUUUCCUUUUUUAAAUGGUCAUUCAUACAAACACGAGUAUCAGCUGCAUAACUAGAAAGUGAUGUACUGAAUUUCUAGAAAUCAGACAAAGGAAGACCACCCACAGUUACCUUCAAGAACAAUAGUUUUGUCGGAGCCUGGAAGAUUGCUGGUGAAGCUGUGGCUUACGAGUGAUGUUUCAAUCAUCUAAUUUUUUCAGGUCUUCUGAAAUACACCAAUUUGAUCAGCAGCUCAGUACCACACCUUGGCGCUGCUCACCAUCAGCUGCACUCAGGCUGAUCACAGGCUCAGUGGACUCCCUAAUAAAAUGGUCCAGAUGCAUCCGAGAGGAACUUGAGGCCUCUACCUGCCAACGUCAUUCUUUCACAUCCCAAAGCACAGGUGGGAGCUGGAUGUUUUUGAAAUGAUGACUGGAAAGAGAGAAGAGAAGGCACAUACGGAACAAGAACAAACGUUGAAGUACGUGCAGAAUUGGAGAUCUGACCCAUAGACUGAUGCAUAUCACUAAAAUUUAACAGAAAACCGAUGUGUUGAAAAGCUGGUUUUGAUUUCUCAUUCAAACUGCUAUCAAAGUUCAUUUAUUUUUCAAUGCAUUGUCAUCUUUCAAUUAAUGAAAACACAUAAGUAAAUAUGAUUAGAUUUGUGAACAGUUUGUGAUCUCUG
ensembl:lncRNA